CUCUAGUACCACUUCCGUAGGUGAUCACGGUUGCAUUUAGCACAUGCAACAAGCCCUUUAAACCCCUAGAUAGCUCUAGUGGACGAGUGUGUUCUCGUGAGGGUUUGUAGAAGAUGUACCCACAAAAUCCCAAGUCGUGAUGAAUCCACAAUUCUCUAUUCUUGCAAAUAAUGCACCAAAAACAACCUAAAAUGAUAGAAAAUCACUUCAUCACCUCAACUCGUGACCUGCACAGAAAAACACUAAAAACACAUCAAAAGACACUAAACACUUAAGUACAACCAACCAAUUUAAGUGGAAAUGAAGGCCUAUAAGUGUGUAUAAAUACCACUUAUCACACCCCCAAACUUAAACUGAUGCUUGUCCUCAAGCGUCAACGACACUAUACAAUAAUACAAUGCAAUGCAUGAAUGCAACUACGUGAUGAAUGAGUGAACUAUGAAGUAAUUGCCUUGCCAAUUAUAAUACCUCAGAUUGUGCUAAUGUUCUCAAAUUUCAUCUCUCUCGCUACUAAGUCAAUUACUCUUCUAUUUACAAGUGUGGAGUGCCAGUGUGUGCAAGCAUGCUCUUUUAUUGAGACAAGACAAAAACUACUACUCCCACAGAAUCCCAAUCAAGAAUCGUAAAAGUUUAAAACUAACACCCCGUCACUCAAGUCCAACUAAAGCCAAGGUCCCAAAGAAUAUCCACACCCUUCUAUUUUAUUACCUAUAUAUUUUUUUUUCUAUUGGUGAUUAAUUGCUUGGUGUAAGGUCAGAGCGCUUCGCAGUGUAAAUGCGUUACGAACACCACAAGACUUCACACACCAAUUAUUCACUUUAUUCUAGUGGUUUAUUUAACUGUGCAAUGGUUGAGAUCCCUAAAGAUUUAUGCACUAGUACCCAUGUAGCGAGGGUGAUUAAUUGCUUGGUCUAAGGUCAGAGCGCUUCGCAGUGUAAAUGCGUUACGAACACCACAAGACUUCACACACCAAUUAUUCACUUUAUUCUAGUGGUUUAUUUAACUGUGCAAUGGUUGAGAUCCCUAAAGAUUUAUACACUAGUACCCAUGUAGCGAGCGUUGGGUCAACAAUCCCAAACCACGAAGGGCUUUAGGUUGUUAGGCACAAAGUCCCCUCAGACUUAAUUACUCGAGUACUAAUGAGCUCAACCUAGUUAAUUC
rnacentral:lncRNA from 1 species